UGAUUCCAUUCGAUUCCAUUUGAUGAUGAUUCCAUGCGAUUCCAUUAGAUGAUGACCCCUUUCAUUUCCAUUCAAUGAGGAUUCCAUUCGGUUCCAUUUGAUGAUGAUUCCUUUGAAUUCCAUUUGAUGACAAUUCCAUUCAAUACCAAUUGAUGAUGGUUAUUUUUGAUUCCAUUUGAUGAUGAUUACAUUCGAUUCCAUUUGAUCAUAAUUCCAUUCGAUUCCACUCGAUGAUUCCAUUCGAUUCCAUUCAAUGAUGAUUCCAUUCGAGUUCAUU